GUGAAUCAUCGAAUUUUUGAACGCAAAUUGCACUUUCUGGUAUUCCGGAAAGUAUGCCUGUUUGAGGGUCAGUUAAAUAAAAAACGCUGUUGUUGCUGCUUUUCGUGGUGACGCGGCGGAAUUGAGUCUUCUUACUUUCGGUUAAGUGACUUAAAAUUUUGCAUGAUUUUCGAACGUAUUUAAAUUUCUUACGUACGUUUGAGAUAUCGAAUACUUAAUUAGUUACGGUCAUCAUCAUGAUUCGCACCUACAAUUUUUGUUUAC
rnacentral:misc_RNA from 1 species